GACGAACGCUGGCGGCGUGCCUAAUACAUGCAAGUCGAACGCAGUGGGGACGGGUGAGUAACACGUGGGUAACCUCCCAUCAGAGGGGAUAACCCUUGGAAACAGGUGCUAAACCGAUACUGAUGUAUGUACCCGCGGUGCAUUAGCUAGUUGGGGAGGUAACGGCUCACCAAGGCCACGAUGCAUAGCCGGCCGGAGAGGGUGAUCAGCAACACUGGGACGGAGACACGGCCCAGACGCCUACGGGAGGCAGCAGUGGGGAAUAUUGGGCAAUGGACGAAAGUCUGACUGAGCCACGCCGCGUGAGUGAAGAAGGUUUUCGGGUCGUAAAGCACUGUUGUCAGGGAAGCGGUAUCUAACGAGAAAGCCACGGCUAACUACGUGCCAGCCGCCGCGGUAAUUC
rnacentral:rRNA from 1 species